CGUGAAACCGCGAACGGCUCAUUAUAACAGCUAUAAUUUACUUGAUCUUGACAACCUACUUGGAUAACUGUGGUAAUUCUAGAGCUAAUACAUGCACCAAAGCUCCAACCGUAAGGGAAGAGCGCAUUUAUUAGAACAAAACCAAGCGGCUUCGGCCGUUCAGUGUUGACUCAGAAUAACUAAGCUGAUCGCAUGGUCUUGUACCGGCGACGUGUCUUUCAAGUAUCUGCCUUAUCAACUUUCGAUGGUAGUGUAUCUGACUACCAUGGUAGUGACGGGUAACGGAGGAUAAGGGUUCGACUCCGGAGAAGGGGCCUGAGAAAUGGCCACUACGUCUAAGGAUGGCAGCAGGCGCGCAAAUUACCCACUCUCAGAACGAGGAGGUAGUGACGAGAAAUAACAAGACCGUUCUCUUCAGAGGCCGGUCAUUGGAAUGGGUACAAUUUAAACCCUUUAACGAGUAUCUAUGAGAGGGCAAGUCUGGUGCCAGCAGCCGCGGUAAUUCCAGCUCUCAAAAUGCAUAGAACCAUUGCUGCGGUUAAAAAGCUCGUAGUUGGAUCUGUGCUGACCUCCCGGUCCACCUUCGGGUGCGCACUGGUGGGGUUGGCUUUCUGCAGCUUUUGGGCUGGUGCCCUUCACUGGGUACCAGAUUCCGGGUUGCAAGUUUACUUUGAACAAAUCAGAGUGCUUCAAACAGGCGUUUCGCUUGAAUGUUCGUGCAUGGAAUAAUAGAAGAGGAUUUCGGUUCUAUUUUAUUGGUUUUAUAGACUGAGAUAAUGGUUAACAGAGAC
rnacentral:rRNA from 1 species